GACGAACGCUGGCGGCGUGCUUAACACAUGCAAGUCGAACGGAAAGGCCUCUUUCGGGGGGUACUCGAGUGGCGAACGGGUGAGUAACACGUGAGUAACCUGCCCUUGACUUUGGGAUAACUUCAGGAAACUGGGGCUAAUACCGGAUAGGAGCUCCUGCUGCAUGGUGGGGGUUGGAAAGUUUCGGCGGUUGGGGAUGGACUCGCGGCUUAUCAGCUUGUUGGUGGGGUGGUGGCUUACCAAGGCUUUGACGGGUAGCCGGCCUGAGAGGGUGACCGGCCACAUUGGGACUGAGAUACGGCCCAGACUCCUACGGGAGGCAGCAGUGGGGAAUAUUGCACAAUGGGUGGAAGCCUGAUGCAGCAACGCCGUGUGCGGGAUGACGGCCUUCGGGUUGUAAACCGCUUUCGCUCAUGACGAAGCUUUGUGUGACGGUAGUGGGUAAAGAAGCACCGGCUAACUACGUG
rnacentral:rRNA from 1 species